GAACUUAAGCAUAUCAAUAAGCGGAGGAAAAGAAACCAACAGGGAUUGCCUUAGUAACUGCGAGUGAAGCGGCAAAAGCUCAAAUUUGAAAUCUGGCGUCUUUGGCGUCCGAAUUGUAAUUUGGAGAGGCAACUUCGGAGAUGGUGCUGUCCUAAGUUCCUUGGAACAGGAUGACAUAGAGGGUGAGAUCCCCGUGCCUGGAUGGCUGUCCAUCUUCAUGUGAAUUGCCUUCGAAGAGUCGAGUUGUUUGGGAAUGCAGCUCAAAAUGGGUGGUAAAUUUCAUCUAAAGCUAAAUAUUGGCGAGAGACCGAUAGCGCACAAGUAGAGUGAUCGAAAGAUGAAAAGCACUUUGAAAAGAGAGUUAAAAAGUACGUGAAAUUGUUGAAAGGGAAGCGCUUGAGACCAGACUCGAUUCGUGGUGAUCAGCUGUGCUUCUGUACGGUGCACUCGCCAUGGAUUGGGCCAGCAUCGGUUCUGACGGUGGGAUAAAAGGUUGAGGAAUGUGUCUUCCUUCGGGGAGUGUUAUAGCCUCACUCACAAUGCCACCAGCUGGGACCGAGGACCGCGCUUCGGCUAGGAUGCUGGCGUAAUGGUCUUAAGCGACCCGUCUUGAAACACGGACCAAGGAGUCUAACAUCUAUGCGAGUGUUCGGGUGGAAAACCCUUGCGCGUAAUGAAAGUGAACGGAGGUGGGAACCCGCAAGGGUGCACCAUCGACCGAUCCCGAUGUCUUCGGAAGGAUUUGAGUAAGAGCAUAGCUGUUGGGACCCGAAA
rnacentral:rRNA from 1 species